UAAGUAAGGGAAAAUGAGGUUCUAUUCAAGAAAAAUUUAUCAAGCUUCUACGCACAAAAAAAAUAAUAUGCAGAACGACUUGGAGGUUAUGUCCUCGUCGGUUGCGUGAUUGUAUUGUCGGUUUCCGCCAGAUGAUAACAAAUGGCAGAUCUUUUUCAAAGUGAACUAAGGUGGGUGAAGAGAAAUUCUUGGCAAAUAAGGCUAAAAGAGCGACGAGGUGAACGGAUUUACGAAUAGCCUCUAACAGGUACAGAUGCUCACGUUGGUAACCCGCCAGCUUAGGAGUCCUAUUCAGCUAUCUUGGAGAGCUCGCUUGUUUCGGAGCCUGGAUUUUGGUACAGAAUAUCUGUGGUGUAUAUGUAUUUUAUCCAGGGGUACGGGAGGGCCCUGUCCCGUUAUAUGAUACUGUUGUUACUUUUAGAGGUCUAUAGACAUACGUGUGGGUUGUGUAUCGAUGUUGUUCAAUUGUGUCUAUAUGGCUUAUGUUUUGGGACGUUCCCAUUCGUAGUGGCAGCCUUGUCGGCUUGCGUAGAUAUAUAUAUAUAUAUAUAUAUAUAUAUAUAUAUAUAUAUGUUUUGAGAAGUAAUGUGUUAUGAUAGCCUUGUCGGCUCGUUUAUGGCGGGGAUGUUCCCUUAUAUAUUAUGAAAGCCUUGUCGGCUUAUGUACUAUAAUGUCUGUUGAAAGUUGUACCUCCCCAGGAGACAGGUUGUUGUGAUACGUCUAAAUAAUGCGACAGUUUUGAGACGACGUCUUGCCUUGGUAUUGAUAAGUCUGUAUUAUGCUAGUUGUGGAUGAUUAUAGUUAACAGGUACAUACGAGUGUCCAGCUCGGGCACUAGUCACGGCCUACGGGGUUGGGUCGUGACAAACACCCCCAAACUUAUACUUUUGCUUGUCCUCAAGCAACUCAAACAAAGUUAUAGCACACGACAAGUGUUCAAGUAUUUAAAAGGUAGUAAUGGCUACGAUGGUGAUAGUGAUCGGUUACAAGCAUGCAUUCAAAAUAUAAUUACCUCUCAUUCUUUUUUUUUUCGAAUCACUUGGGGAGGUAGGGUGCCAAAAGAUGAGUCAAUAUGAACAAACAGGUAAGGCUUGUAAUAUGGUUGUCACAAAAAAAAAAAAAAAAAAAAAAAAAAGGACUAAAGCUCAAACAUGCAAUGGUAGGAAAUUUAAGGCUUAGUAAUGAUCCAAGGAAAGCCUAAUAUCCUCUUUCAUACAAAGUGUAGUUUAUGAUUUCACCUUGAGACACUUUACGGGCAAGUUCUAGAUCACAAUCAUGCACAAGACUUAAACGACAACGCCUCACAACACAUGGCACAUAUAUUACUUAACUAUUUUCUAAUUACUUCUCAAUCAAGAAUUCAAGGGAAAAAAGAUAACUUUUUAGUAAACAAUAUGUCACCAAAUGAGUCAUGUCAGUUAUGCUA